GCGAUGAUCUGAAAGGAUUUGUGACCCUGGUCAGGCUGAGUUUUCUGCUCUCCUAAGGCUGUCUCAGGUCCUGAACGAUUGGAUUGGAACAGAAGUUGUGUUCCACUCAUUGGUUGUCCUAAGUUUGAAUGAAGAGGGGACCUUAGGGGUGUUCGCUGACUCCAUGCCCAUGGUGUUCAGGUGUUGGCGCCAAUCAGAAGAGAUUUGUGACAUUGGUCAGGCCAGGUGUU
rnacentral:lncRNA from 1 species